GGAAAGGCGCGCGAUACAGGGUGACAGCCCCGUACACAAAAAUGCACAUGCUGUGAGCUCGAUGAGUAGGGCGGGACACGUGGUAUCCUGUCUGAAUAUGGGGGGACCAUCCUCCAAGGCUAAAUACUCCUGACUGACCGAUAGUGAACCAGUACCGUGAGGGAAAGGCGAAAAGAACCCCGGCGAGGGGAGUGAAAAAGAACCUGAAACCGUGUACGUACAAGCAGUGGGAGCACGCUUAGGCGUGUGACUGCGUACCUUUUGUAUAAUGGGUCAGCGACUUAUAUUCUGUAGCAAGGUUAACCGAAUAGGGGAGCCGAAGGGAAACCGAGUCUUAACUGGGCGUUAAGUUGCAGGGUAUAGACCCGAAACCCGGUGAUCUAGCCAUGGGCAGGUUGAAGGUUGGGUAACACUAACUGGAGGACCGAACCGACUAAUGUUGAAAAAUUAGCGGAUGACUUGUGGCUGGGGGUGAAAGGCCAAUCAAACCGGGAGAUAGCUGGUUCUCCCCGAAAGCUAUUUAGGUAGCGCCUCGUGAAUUCAUCUCCGGGGGUAGAGCACUGUUUCGGCAAGGGGGUCAUCCCGACUUACCAACCCGAUGCAAACUGCGAAUACCGGAGAAUGUUAUCACGGGAGACACACGGCGGGUGCUAACGUCCGUCGUGAAGAGGGAAACAACCCAGACCGCCAGCUAAGGUCCCAAAGUCAUGGUUAAGUGGGAAACGAUGUGGGAAGGCCCAGACAGCCAGGAUGUUGGCUUAGAAGCAGCCAUCAUUUAAAGAAAGCGUAAUAGCUCACUGGUCGAGUCGGCCUGCGCGGAAGAUGUAACGGGGCUAAACCAUGCACCGAAGCUGCGGCAGCGACGCUGAUGCGUUGUUGGGUAGGGGAGCGUUCUGUAAGCCUGCGAAGGUGUGCUGUGAGGCAUGCUGGAGGUAUCAGAAGUGCGAAUGCUGACAUAAGUAA
rnacentral:rRNA from 1 species